rnacentral:rRNA from 1 species
AGAGUUUGAUCCUGGCUCAGGAUGAACGCUAGCUACAGGCUUAACACAUGCAAGUCGAGGGGCAGCAUGAACUUAGCUUGCUAAGUUUGAUGGCGACCGGCGCACGGGUGAGUAACACGUAUCCAACCUGCCGAUGACUCGGGGAUAGCCUUUCGAAAGAAAGAUUAAUACCCGAUGGCAUANAUUUCGGUCAUCGAUGGGGAUGCGUUCCAUUAGGUUGUUGGCGGGGUAACGGCCCACCAAGCCUUCGAUGGAUAGGGGUUCUGAGAGGAAGGUCCCCCACAUUGGAACUGAGACACGGUCCAAACUCCUACGGGAGGCAGCAGUGAGGAAUAUUGGUCAAUGGACGAGAGUCUGAACCAGCCAAGUAGCGUGAAGGAUGACUGCCCUAUGGGUUGUAAACUUCUUUUAUACGGGAAUAAAGUGAGGCACGUGUGCCUUUUUGUAUGUACCGUAUGAAUAAGGAUCGGCUAACUCCGUGCCAGCAGCCGCGGUAAUACGGAGGAUCCGAGCGUUAUCCGGAUUUAUUGGGUUUAAAGGGAGCGUAGGCGGACGCUUAAGUCAGUUGUGAAAGUUUGCGGCUCAACCGUAAAAUUGCAGUUGAUACUGGGUGUCUUGAGUACAGUAGAGGCAGGCGGAAUUCGUGGUGUAGCGGUGAAAUGCUUAGAUAUCACGAAGAACUCCGAUUGCGAAGGCAGCUUGCUGGACUGUAACUGACGCUGAUGCUCGAAAGUGUGGGUAUCAAACAGGAUUAGAUACCCUGGUAGUCCACACAGUAAACGAUGAAUACUCGCUGUUUGCGAUAUACAGUAAGCGGCCAAGCGAAAGCGUUAAGUAUUCCACCUGGGGAGUACGCCGGCAACGGUGAAACUCAAAGGAAUUGACGGGGGCCCGCACAAGCGGAGGAACAUGUGGUUUAAUUCGAUGAUACGCGAGGAACCUUACCCGGGCUUGAAUUGCAACUGAAUGAUGUGGAGACAUGUCAGCCGCAAGGCAGUUGUGAAGGUGCUGCAUGGUUGUCGUCAGCUCGUGCCGUGAGGUGUCGGCUUAAGUGCCAUAACGAGCGCAACCCUUAUCGAUAGUUACCAUCAGGUUAUGCUGGGGACUCUGUCGAGACUGCCGUCGUAAGAUGUGAGGAAGGUGGGGAUGACGUCAAAUCAGCACGGCCCUUACGUCCGGGGCUACACACGUGUUACAAUGGGGGGUACAGAAGGCAGCUACACGGCGACGUGAUGCUAAUCCCUAAAGCCUCUCUCAGUUCGGAUUGGAGUCUGCAACCCGACUCCAUGAAGCUGGAUUCGCUAGUAAUCGCGCAUCAGCCACGGCGCGGUGAAUACGUUCCCGGGCCUUGUACACACCGCCCGUCAAGCCAUGAAAGCCGGGGGUACCUGAAGUGCGUAACCGCAAGGAGCGCCCUAGGGUAAAACUGGUGAUUGGGGCUAAGUCGUAACAAGGUAGCCGUACCGGAAGGUGCGGCUG